rnacentral:tRNA from 1 species
AAGGAUUUAAGUUAAACUAUAAACUGUUAGCCUUCAAAGCUAAUAAUAGGGUGUCCCUAAGCCUUA